GGGAAAGUGACUCAGUGGUAGAGUGCUUGCCUUGCAUGUAUGAGGCCCUGGGUUCAAUUCCUCAGCACCA
rnacentral:tRNA from 1 species